UGGUGGGUUGCCUUGUCAGGUUGAUUCCGGUAACGAACGAGACCUCAGCCUGCUAAAUAGUCAAGCGUUCUUUUUGAACACUCCUGACUUCUUAGAGGGACUAUUGUCGUUUAGGCAAUGGAAGUGUGAGGCAAUAACA
rnacentral:rRNA from 1 species